rnacentral:rRNA from 1 species
ACUGAACGCUAGCGGGAUGCUUUACACAUGCAAGUCGAACGGUAGCACGAAGAAAGCUUGCUUUCUUUGGUGACGAGUGGCGAACGGGUGAGUAAUGUAUCGGAACGUACCCAGUAGCGGGGGAUAACUACGCGAAAGCGUGGCUAAUACCGCAUGCGCCCUACGGGGGAAAGGGGGGGAUCGCAAGACCUCUCACUAUUGGAGCGGCCGAUAUCGGAUUAGCUAGUUGGUGGGGUAAAGGCCUACCAAGGCGACGAUCCGUAGCUGGUUUGAGAGGACGCCCAGCCACACUGGGACUGAGACACGGCCCAGACUCCUACGGGAGGCAGCAGUGGGGAAUUUUGGACAAUGGGGGCAACCCUGAUCCAGCCAUCCCGCGUGUGCGAUGAAGGCCUUCGGGUUGUAAAGCACUUUUGGCAGAGAAGAAGCGACUCUGGAUAAUACCCGGGGUUAAUGACGGUAUCUGCAGAAUAAGCACCGGCUAACUACGUGCCAGCAGCCGCCGCCG